rnacentral:rRNA from 1 species
GAAUAUUGGUCAAUGGGCGCAAGCCUGAACCAGCCAUGCCGCGUGCAGGAAGACGGCCCUAUGGGUUGUAAACUGCUUUUGUCAGGGAAUAAACCCCCGCUCGUGAGCGGGGCUGAAGGUACCUGAAGAAUAAGCAUCGGCUAACUCCGUGCCAGCAGCCGCGGUAAUACGGAGGAUGCAAGCGUUAUCCGGAUUCAUUGGGUUUAAAGGGUGCGCAGGCGGAUUGGUAAGUCAGGGGUGAAAUCCCACAGCUCAACUGUGGAACUGCCUUUGAUACUGUCAGUCUAGAGUAUAGUUGAAGUGGGCGGAAUGUGUCAUGUAGCGGUGAAAUGCUUAGAUAUGACACAGAACACCGAUCGCGAAGGCAGCUCGCUAAGCUAUAACUGACGCUCAUGCACGAAAGCGUGGGGAUCAAACAG